rnacentral:rRNA from 1 species
AAACUUUCAACAACGGAUCUCUUGGUUCUGGCAUCGAUGAAGAACGCAGCGAAAUGCGAUAAGUAGUGUGAAUUGCAGAAUUCAGUGAAUCAUCGAAUCUUUGAACGCCAUUGCGCCCUUGUAUCCG